UACGGGAGGCAGCAGUGGGGAAUAUUGCACAAUGGGCGCAAGCCUGAUGCAGCCAUGCCGCGUGUAUGAAAAAGGCCUUCGGGUUGUAAAGUACUUUCAGUCGUGAGGAAGGUGUUAAGGUUAAUAACCUUAGCAAUUGACGUUAGCGACAGAAGAAGCACCGGCUAACUCCGUGCCAGCAGCCGCGGUAAUACGGAGGGUGCGAGCGUUAAUCGGAAUUACUGGGCGUAAAGGGCACGCAGGCGGUUAAUUAAGUUGGAUGUGAAAUCCCCGGGCUUAACCUGGGAAUGGCAUUCAAGACUGGUUAGCUAGAGUCUUGUAGAGGGGGUAGAAUUCCAUGUGUAGCGGUGAAAUGCGUAGAGAUGUGGAGGAAUACCGGUGGCGAAGGCGGCCCCUGGACAAGACUGACGCUCAUGUGCGAAAGCGUGGGGAGCAAACAGGGAUUAGAUACC
rnacentral:rRNA from 1 species